rnacentral:rRNA from 1 species
GAUGAACGCUGGCGGCGUGCCUAACACAUGCAAGUCGAGCGGAGAAUUGUUGCUUGCCACCAUUCUUAGCGGCGGACGGGUGAGUAACACGUGGGUAACCUGCCCUAAACAAAGGGAUAACAAUGAGAAAUCAUUGCUAAUACCGUAUAAGCUUACACUAUCGCAUGAUAGAGUAAGAAAAGAUUUAUCGGUUUAGGAGGGGCCCGCGUCUGAUUAGCUAGUUGGAGAGGUAACGGCUCACCAAGGCGACGAUCAGUAGCCGACCUGAGAGGGUGAUCGGCCACAUUGGGACUGAGACACGGCCCAAACUCCUACGGGAGGCAGCAGUGGGGAAUAUUGCACAAUGGAGGAAACUCUGAUGCAGCAACGCCGCGUGAAGGAAGAAGGUUUUCGGAGCGUAAACUUCUAUCUACAGGGAAGAAAAAAAUGACGGUACCUGAGUAAGAAGCCCCGGCUAACUACGUG